GUCUACGGCCAUACCACCCUGAACGCGCCCAAUCUCGUCUGAUCUCGGAAGCUAAGCAGGGUUGGGCCUGGUUAGUACUUGGAUGGGAGAGUUAUCAUGAAAUGACCUAACCUUUACAUU
rnacentral:rRNA from 1 species